CUAUGCCGACGGCGACGGUCGGCGUCUGUUGAACCUCCUGGAACAGCUCGCCGUUGCCGCAGGCUCGACCG
rnacentral:misc_RNA from 1 species